CUCCGAGGCGACUUCGCCUGGGGCGCAGGUUCCUCGAGGGCAGGACGGCGCCGGCGGAAGGGCCGGAGAAUUCCGUUCCAGCCCCAGAUUGUUGAAUCGAGCGUCGGUAGGGUCCAGAGAGAGAAGGCACGCGCUCUGGCUCAGCUGGCUUCACCACCCGCUCUGUGACCUCGGCUGCUUAGUUUACGUUUCUGAGCCACGGAUAAUAAUGAGAGAAUAUUUGUGUCGGGGUCUUGCGAAGCCCUCGGUAUUACCUCCUGCUGUUGCCUACCGUACGUCUCAGCUUACAGACCACCCACUGGUUGGCUACGACGGCCUACAAGACAACAACAUCCUCAUCAGGAUUUGUUCAUCUACUGGGGACCCUUAGACAGACCUCUGGACAAGCCUCAGUUGCCGGUCUCGCUCUACUACGCCCCUCCUCAGCCUGAAGUAGCCAGAGCGGUCGUCGCCCCUAUUCCCUGACGACAGUUAGGGUUACCUCUUCAGAGGGGGGAUGAGACAGGUUAGCUGGCAUGUUGCUAGAUACACAGGGAGGUCCCUGGUGGAAUGAACAGAAGGCAGCCAUAUCCUGAAACUCCAGUUCUGGAAUGUCUCCUUCACUCCAGGACAAAGAUAUGAGAAUACGCCUUGAGGUUAAUAAAUUAUCUCAUAAAUCCCUUUUGGCCGGACAAAGGAGCAGAUCUGAUACAUAGGAACAGGUUCACUAAUCCAUUUAGGGUGGGCAAACCAGACAAACCUGAUAGAUGAAUCCCAUUAGAAGGUGCCAGCCCCCUUCCCCAAACAGGCAAAGGAAGGUAUAAAAGUAAGAACUUUUGCCUCAGUCACUGGGCAACCCUGUCGGGACCCCCUCUUGUUCCGAAAGCAGCCACUCUUUACUCUUUAGUUUUGACUAUCUUCUUUUUUUUUUUUUUUUAAAGAUUUUAUUGGAGAAGGGGAACAGGACUUUAUUGGGGAACAGGACUUUAUUGGGGAACAGUGUGUACUUCCAGGCGUUUUUUUCCAAGUCAAGUUGUUGUCCUUUCAAUCUUAGUUGUGGAGGGUGCUGUUCAGC
rnacentral:lncRNA from 1 species